UACGAAGGGGGCUAGCGUUGCUCGGAAUCACUGGGCGUAAAGCGCACGUAGGCGGCGUCUUAAGUCAGGGGUGAAAUCCUGGAGCUCAACUCCAGAACUGCCUUUGAUACUGGGGAUCUCGAGUCCGGAAGAGGUGAGUGGAACUCCGAGUGUAGAGGUGAAAUUCGUAGAUAUUCGGAAGAACACCAGUGGCGAAGGCGGCUCACUGGUCCGGUACUGACGCUGAGGUGCGAAAGCGUGGGGAGCAAACAGG
rnacentral:rRNA from 1 species